AACAAAGAUAUUAAGAGCAUAUGGUGGAUGCCUUGGCACAAGUAUCGAUGAAGGACGUGACUAGCUGCGAUAAGCUACGGUGAGCUGCCCAUAAGUUUUGACCCGUAGAUUUCCGAAUGGGGGAACCCAAGUAAGGUCAUUCUUACUUAUCCUCGCCUGAAUCUAUAGGGCGAGAGAGGAUAACCCGGAGAACUGAAACAUCUAAGUACCCGGAGGAAAAGAAAUCAACCGAGAUUGCGCUAGUAGCGGCGAGCGAACGCGCACGUAGCCUAAACCAAUUUAUGUGUAAACCUUGGGGUGUUGCUAGAUUGGUGUUGUGGGGCAAUAUGUUUGCAAGCCCAAGCUUGUGAGCACAGUUACAAAAGCAAGUAGUAGUAGAGUGGCAUGGAAAGGUCAGCCAGAGAAGGUUAAAGCCCUGUAUACAAAACUGCUCGCACUGUGUAUUGUUGUUCCCGAGUAGAUCCGGACACGUGAAAUCCGGCUCGAAUCUGGGGGGACCACCCUCCAAGGCUAAAUAGUCACUUGUGACCGAUAGUGAACAAGUACCGUGAGGGAAAGGUGAAAAGUACCCCGCAAGGGGAGUGAAAUAGUACCUGAAACCAUAUGCUUACAAGCGGUCGGAGCAGAUUUAUUCUGUGACGGCGUGCCUUUUGUAGAAUGAGCCAGCGAGUUACGGUAUGCGGCAAGGUUAAGUCAUAAAACGAGCCGUAGUGAAAGCGAGCCUGAAUAGGGCGAAUAGUCGUAUGCCGUAGACGCGAAGCCGGGUGAUCUAUCCAUGGGCAGGAUGAAGCGGGGGUAAGACCCCGUGGAGGUCCGAACCCACUUCGGUUGAAAACGGAGGGGAUGACCUGUGGAUAGGGGUGAAAGGCCAAUCAAACCCGGAGAUAUCUCGUUCUCCCCGAAAUAGCUUUAGGGCUAGCCUCGAGCGUUAAUUUUUAUGGGUGGUAGAGCACUGCAUGGUCAAGGGGGCUUCACCGCCUACCAAAACUAAGCAAACUCCGAAUGCCUAUAAAAUUGCUCGGGAGUCAGAAUGUGUGGGCUAAGCCGCAUGUUCGAAAGGGAAACAGCCCAGAUCGCCUGCUAAGGUCCCUAAGUUUAUGUUAAGUGGUAAAGGAUGUGCGUUUGCCCAGACAGCCAGGAUGUUGGCUUAGAAGCAGCCAUGCAUUUAAAGAGUGCGUAACAGCUCACUGGUCGAGUGGACAUGCGCCGACAAUUAUCGGGGCUCAAACAUAACACCGAAGCAGCGGACUCGCAAGAGUGGUAGGGGAGCUUUGUAUACAGGCUGAAGCAGAAGGGGCAACCUUCUGUGGACAGUAUACAAGUGAGAAUGCUGGCAUGAGUAACGAGAGAAGGGUGAAAAACCUUUCCGUCGAAAGCCUAAGGUUUCCUGGGCAAGGCUAAUCCUCCCAGGGUCAGUCGGGAGCUAAGGUCAGGGCGAAAGCCGUAGCCGAUGCACAACAGGUCGAUAUUCCUGUACCACUCAUUGUUCGUUAUUACGAUGGGGUGACGGAGAAGGAUAGCUGGGCGGGGUUCUGGACGUCCCCGUGAAAGCGCGUAGGGUUUGGCGUAUGUAAAUCAGCGUCAUGCAAAUCCUGAGACGUUAGACGAAGCCUCUUUUGGCGAAGUCAGUGACUCCAUGCUUACAAGAAAAACCUCUAAGGAGAACAGUGGGUGCCCGUACCAAAACCGACACAGGUAGGCAGGUAGAGGAUACCGAGACGAUCGGGAGAACCAUGGUUAAGGAACUCGGCAUAAUGGCUCCGUAACUUCGGGAGAAGGAGCGCCUCUGUCGGUGAUCGUUUUAUACGGAUGUGAGCUAACGGAGGCCGCAGUGAAAAGGCCCAAGCGACUGUUUAUCAAAAACACAGGACUCUGCUCAACUCGUAAGAGGAUGUAUAGGGUCUGACGCCUGCCCGGUGCUGGAAGGUUACGUGGAAGGGUUAGCUUUUAGCGAAGCUCUGAAACUAAGCCCCAGUAAACGGCGGCCGUAACUAUAACGGUCCUAAGGUAGCGAAAUUCCUUGUCGGGUAAGUUCCGACCUGCACGAAUGGCGUAACGAUUUGGGCGCUGUCUCGACCAUGGACCCGGUGAAAUUGCACUAUUCGUGAAGAUGCGAAUUACCCGCGGAAGGACGGAAAGACCCCGUGAACCUUUACUGCAGCUUGACAUUGAUUGUUGAUUUAAUAUGUAGAGGAUAGGCAGGAGGCUUUGAAGCCGGUGCGCCAGUGCUGGUGGAGCCACCCUUGGAAUACUGCCCUUGUUACUUUAGCAAUCUAACGUGUGGCCGUAAUCCGGCAUGCGGACCGUGUCAGGUGGGUAGUUUGACUGGGGCGGUCGCCUCCUAAAAUGUAACGGAGGCGCGCGAUAGGUCCGCUCAGAACGGUUGGCAAUCGUUCGUAGAGUGCAAGAGUAUAAGCGGGCUUGACUGCGAGACUGACAAGUCGAGCAGAUACGAAAGUAGGUUCUAGUGAUCCGGCGGCUCAGAGUGGAAUGGCCGUCGCUCAACGGAUAAAAGGUACUCCGGGGAUAACAGGCUGAUCUUGCCCAAGAGUCCACAUCGACGGCAAGGUUUGGCACCUCGAUGUCGGCUCAUCGCAUCCUGGAGCUGGAGUCGGUUCCAAGGGUAUGGCUGUUCGCCAUUUAAAGCGGUACGCGAGCUGGGUUCAGAACGUCGUGAGACAGUUCGGUCCCUAUCCUCCGCGGGCGUAAGGAAAUUGAAGGUAUUUGCCCCUAGUACGAGAGGACCGGGGUGAACGAACCUCUUGUGAAGCGGUUGUUAGCCAAUAGCAUCGCCGCAUAGCUACGUUCGGAAUGGAUAACCGCUGAAAGCAUCUAAGCGGGAAGCCAAACCUAAGAUGAGUUUCCUUUUUGGUAAGAUUCCUUGUAGACUACGAGGUUGAUAGGCUGCAGCUGUAAGGCGUGUAAGCGUUUCAGGCGAGCAGUACUAAUAGAUCGAGCUCUUUGUUUU
rnacentral:rRNA from 1 species